UACGGAGGGUGCAAGCGUUAAUCGGAAUUACUGGGCGUAAAGCGCGCGUAGGCGGUUUGAUAAGCGGAGUGUGAAAUCCCCGGGCUCAACCUGGGAACUGCAUUCCGAACUGUCGAGCUAGAGUAUGAGAGAGGGUGGCGGAAUUCCGAGUGUAGCGGUGAAAUGCGUAGAUAUUCGGAGGAACACCAGUGGCGAAGGCGGCCACCUGGAUCAAUACUGACGCUGAGGCGCGAAAGCGUGGGGAGCAAAC
rnacentral:rRNA from 1 species